AAUGACUAGGAUUUAGAGUUUACUCUCCAAUGGUAAACUCUUAGGGAGUGUUUACGGCCUAAACACCACAUCCCCAUGAGUUUACGGCCGUAAACUCAUGGUGGGUGUUUUUAUGAGCUAAAUGGCCUUAAAUCAAAUAAUGGGUGUUGCUAGGUUUGGCUUUUGGACAUUUGAAAGGGACAAAAUCAUUAUAUGAAUUAAUAGAAGAGUUUAGGGCAGUAAACUAAGAGUUUACGGCCGUAAACUCUCACACACAUCCAACUUAAUUAUUUUGAAGGCCAAGGAUUAAUCACAAGUGAUUCAACUAAUUUUUACAAGGCUUAGGUUGAGUUUAAGGCUUCAAAUGGCAUCCAUCUAGGAGUUUACGACCCUAGAGUAUAUGCUCUGGCCGUAAACUCUCAAUUAGAGGGUUUUUGAUAUGUUUAAGACCCCUAAAUGAUUUUUUUGGUUGGUUCUAGGAUUUAUUCCAAGGCUUUUGGUGGAGUUAUAUGGCUUUCUAACAUGUUGGAAAUGAGUUUACACUCAUGUUUGAGGGGUUUACGGCCCAAGCACAUGCCUUGGCCGUAAACUCAUGCAAAUCCCUCAAAAUCAUUGUCUAAGGUGUUCUAAGUCCAUUUCAUGAAGUCAUAUAGCCAUAUCNUAUCUAAGCUCCUAUGGUGAUUUGGAAGGGUUUUAAGGCUCAAAAACCCCAAUUACAUGUGUUCACGGCCUAAGGCUGAUCCAGGGCCGUAAACACAUGUUUAUGGUCUUAUCCCAUGAUUUAAACACGAAAAUGAAGCCUAAGGAUGUUAUACUAGGAGCUAGGAUGCUUACCUUGGUGUUUUAAGGCUUGAAAUGGUUGAUUUUGGCUUAACAAUAUGGAUUUGAGGAGAGAGGUUAGAGAGAGAGUGAAAAAGCUUCAAAUGAGGCUUAAUCCACUUUAAAUAUGGUUUGACUUGGAUACACGGUGGAAUUUUACCCGAUACCGACGUUAACCGAUGCUUUGGGUCGCACCCGAUUAAGUUGUCGUUACCCGAUAUGGUCGAAACUAUAAUUUUUCAAAUUACUAGUUCGGGACGUUUUCACAUGUUUCCAACAUGUUUGGAUACUUACCAAGUCAAAAUAAAGGUUUUGACUUAAUUAACCUAGUUCAGGACGAAAUCGGAACAAUUCGCUUAAGACGAGUUUUGACGAAACGGUUACGGCGAAUAAGCAAUGUUUCGGGUUGUUACAUUAUCCCCCCGUCAGAGGGAAUUUCGUCCCGAAAUUCAAGAAUUUAGAUACAAAAUUAUGGACAAAGGGUGUGGAUGUGUCUACUGUAUCGGGUCUUCACACUCCCAUGCGAAUUUAGGUUCUCGCUUGGAACCUUCACUAACGGGACGUGGCUCGGUUUCAUACGCUUGAUUACUUGGUCUAUGAUCUUAGUUUGCUCGUCCAGAGAGUUUGGGUAUAUCAAGGUUCUUGGUCACAUUAGAAUGGAUUUCUGUGGUUUUAUCAGGCAAGUAUUCAUUAAGGAUAGAGGUGCAAGGUACAGGAUGAGCGCUGCUAAUUACUGAAGGUAUUUCGGAGCUGAAGGCUAAGGAAUCAAUCCGAAUGGGGAUCUCAAAGGGUCUAAUGUACCACAGACUAAGUUUUCCAUGCCUUAUCAAGUUUACUAUGGGUGUCUUUGGUGCCGAACAAUUCUCUAUUGCUUCGAUCUUAGGAGGAUCUACGCGUACGUCUUCAUCGUCUACUACAUGACCGGAAAGAAAAUGGUUUGACCGAAGGGUAUCAAUGCGAACUCUCAGUGAUCAUAUCUAAUCCUGAAUGUUGUCUUUAAAACAUGAACUCGUAGCUGGUGGUGUCUCGACCUGAGGCAUAUCUUCGAGGAGUAGUUGGCUCCCUGAAGUUAUCGAAGAAAUCGUCUAUUCAGAAAAGAGAAUAUCGGUUUUGACGGUCAACUCAUUAAGCCGAUUAGAUAACUCCUGCAUUUUUGCUGGAGCAAAGCGAUACGGAGGUUUGGCUACGGGGAUAGAUCCAGGGAUUAAGUUGAUACGAAACUCAACUUGGCGUUCGGAGGGAAUUCUCGGGAUUUAUUCGGAAAGAUAUCAGGAGCAUUAUAGUCCUCGGGGACGUUCUUGGGGUUUUUAACUCCUUGUUUCUCUCUGAUCACAUGGACUAGGAAUACUUGACACUUCUUUCGUAGGAACUUUCGAGUUUUGAUGCAUUGAACGAAGCGAAGAUUUGGGCUAAACUCGCCACCAUGAAUUAGGAGGGUCUGAUCAGAAGGAAGAUUGAGACAAAUAGCUUUCUAUAACGAGGUGUAUCAACACAGUCGGGGCUCAAUCGAUACAUAAUAAGGAUAACAUCAAAGCUCUUACUGAAACUGACAUCGGGUUAAUGAUAAAUAAAUGAUUACUCAAGGUAAGGACACAACGUAGAGAUAAGUCGUUUAUACACUCAUUCUCACUGACAACUAUCUUGACGGUAAAUGUUUUUGGUUGUCAAACGAGGACUAUGUUUAACAAGAUAAUUGAAUGAAUGACUAAUUGAACUUUCUUAACACUAGAUUUGAAGAGGAUGCGAGCAUAAGGAUAGUCGGAAAGAAAUAUACCCGCGACGUUAGUGGGAUUGGUGGCUGCCUCCUCCUGCUUCAAAGCUAAGACCAUUCCGGCGUUGUUGACAUUGUUGGGGGUUGUUGCUUUUGGGCAGUUUCGCUUGAAAUGCCCAAUUUCUCCACAACUAUAGCAAACCUGUUUGAUACUUGAUUCAGAAGUUUGUUCGAGGUGUUGGACUAGUGUUCUGCAACUUCUAGCAAGAUGACCUUUCUUGCCACAGCGUUUGCAAAUCAUCUUGCGACAUGGGCCAGGAAUAUAAUGAUGAUAACUACACUUACUGCACCAAGGGAGAUUACCAGCAUACCCAGUGACAGGUGCUUGAGCCUUAGACGAAAUAACAGGAGUAGUGGUAGCUUGAACUAUAGGAACAACGGCAGGAUUGGUAGCAACUUGGACUGCCACAUUUUUGAGCUUCUUGGAGGGUCCUUGGGAACCCUGACCCUUUUGCUUUUUCUAGAUAACCUUAUUACUCUCAUCAAACUCAUUCUGAUGCUCCUGAACAUUUUCACGGUUUUAGGGGUAGGGGUUAUAUCCUGGACCAAUGGACUUUUUAGGGUUCAAGAUCGUCAUUGCAGCCGUCACUGCAGCAGAAACAGCCAGUUGGAAUAUCACAGGGUCGAAGCGAGAUGAGGGUGGAGACGAAGGGUCGUUGUUCUUCGAGCUGGGUUCUUUCCGUGAAGACAGCUCGAUCUAAAAGUUUAGGAAAAGAGGAUAAUAAGUCCUCUAAAUUGAAUCAAGAGAUAUGAAACAAAGGAUAUCUCUUUAUGACAGACAUAUAUUUCUAUUAAGCGAAUAAGCAGGAAUAAAUUAUCAAAGCAGACAUUUAUCGCUAACGGAAUGAUCGAGGAGCAAUGCUUGAAUGAGAAUUCUCUACAACAAAUUUGGAUCUAGAAAUACUCCCAUAGUAUUUCACGAUUCACCGCAACGACGAUUCGUUGUUUGUGGUAUUUGGGUAAGUUUUAGGUAUGCCGCAUUCCACAGUCACUCCCAAGCACAUGUUGGCCGUGUCUCGAAUGAAUAUAGUUGAUCAGGCUAUAUUGAUCCUAGACACGACUACAUAACUGCCCAGGUUUAACUGUAGCAGACAACACCCAAUUACUUGUGUUAUGUUCUAUUUAUAGAUACGAUUCUCGACGGUUAGGUAUACUUAUAUACUUUUUGAAAAUACUUAUAUUUUCAGGUAUACUUUUAGUUCAGAGCACUUAGUCCCCUUAGUUUUUAUAGUCUUAUACCAUGUAAAGUUUGGUAUACUUAGUUCACUAUAAACAAGGGCUCUGAUACCAAUCUGUCAACCCCGAAACCGAAGGCGGAAACGUCUCGGGGCGGAGGUGACUUCAUGGGAAUAUCAUAACCAAUGUACAUAGUAAGAGAAGUAAAACACAAAACAUUAGAUUACAUAAAUUUCAUUACAUCAGUUGAAAAAUAAAGUAGUACAAGUUUCAUAGAUACAUAAGUUUAAACAAAAGAAAGACAUGACUUCCAUUCGCUCCGUCUUCUGCAAAAGAACGCGGGAUACCUGUCUAAGGAAAACCUGAGAAUACAAGCAGUUUGAAAAUCAGCAUAAAGCUAGUGAGUUCAUAAGCGGUUUGUUUUAUGAAAAGAACGGGUUCCUUUAGUUUCCUGAAAAAGUGAUUAACCAAGAAAAUCCCAUAUUUUCUUAAUAAUUAAGUUACCAAAUCCAAAUUGUAUUGCAAAAGAUAUACAAUGAAAACAUGAUUGUUCUUAUGAUUUGUAAAGUUUAGUUAUUUAACUUAUUACACUUAUCUGGUUACAACUAGUGUUACUCAGGAAAAUCCUAUACUUUCCUAUAUGUGUAAGUGUGAACUAUUACUGGUUCUGUGUGAGCUAACUGAUACUGAUUCCGAUUAUGUUCAUUAUUAUCCAUAGGAAAACCCCAUGUUUUCCUGAAUGUGUGUGUGUACUAUUACCAAUUUUGUGUAUGCUAACUGUUACCGAUUCUGAUUAUGUUCAUUGUUAUCCAUAGGAAAACCCCAUGUUUUCCUGAAUGUGUGUGCUGAUAGUCUGAUUAUCCCUAAAUGUACAUCAGCUUUACUACGUACAUAAAGCUAGUAAAUGAGUCUAAAGUGUUAAUAAUCUAGAUUUCAAGUCCUUAACCAUACUCAGAGUAGAUAUGACUCGAGUCGUGGCCAGUAUCAUUUUUAUGACUUUCGUCACCCUUGAACCUUUCGGUUCGCCUAUAGCUAGCAGCCAGGUGCGGGAUUGUCAGUCCCGUAUAGAUCUAUACACUCAAGUCACGCUCUCCUACGUUCGGAGAUUCUGGUUACAAGAGUAGUCCUCGACUCUCGUGCCACGGGACGUGUUACAAAGGACGUGUCUCCAAUCUUUAAGAUUUCUCAUUACUUCUCGCCUAGGAGAAGUAGUAUCUAUGAAUAACUAGGUUCUAACGUACCUGUCCUUUACACUCGGGCCUAGGUUUUAUUAUUAAGGACAUUACAAAUGUUCUAUGUUUUCUAAUGUCGACUAUCCAUUACACUCGAGCCGAGGUGCAUUAUUAAACACAUUACAAUGUUCUAUAUUAUCAAAUGACUGUUGUCCUUUACACUCGAGCCUAGGUGUAUUCUUAAUGACAUACCGAAGUUUUAUGUUUUCUUUAUGGUGUCUGACUUUUAUACUCGUGCCUAUGGUGUUUUAUUACAGACUUUAUAAUGCUUUAUGUUUUCUAUCAAUAUAAGUAUGAACAAUCAAAUGUGAAGUAUACAAUAUGACAAUAUAUAAUAAGAAUUGAAAAUCGGUUUUUAAACAUAUAACUCUGCAAGUUAAAAGAGUUUGUUAAAAGGGUUUUCAAUCCUUAAAAAUGUACAAGUAUGAAACCAUUUAACUAAAAUCAUAAGUUUAAGUACAAGAUAUUCUUGUACUCUUGCUUGUAUUCCCCCCUGAAAACAUUGAAAAACCAUUGAAAAAGGGUAGGGGUAUGAACUCACCGGACGCGGAAAUGUGUCGAAUGGGAUGCUAAACGUCGAACCGAGGCUUGAAUACGAGCGAUGUUCCUAUGUAAUAAUAAAUAAUACACAAUAUAUAUCUAAUUAGAUUUAAAUAACUAAUUAGAUACACUUGAACAUUCUAAGACGCGAAAACACUCCAAAAUGAGCGUUUGAAGUGACCCGGGUGGCGUUUCAGGACAUGAAUGGCUAGGAUAUAGAGUUUACUCUUCAAGGGUAAACUCUAGGGAGUGUUCACGGCCUAAACACCACAUCCCCAUGAGUUUACGGCCGUAAACUCAUGGUGGGUGUUUUUAUGAGCUAAAUGGCCUUAAAUCAAAUAAUGGGUGUUGCUAGGUUUGGCUUUUGGACAUUUGAAAGGGACAAAAUCAUUAUAUGAAUUAAUAGAAGAGUUUAGGGCAGUAAACUAAGAGUUUACGGCCGUAAACUCUCACCCACAUCCAACUUAAUUAUUUUGAAGGCCAAGGAUUAAUCACAAGUGAUUCAACUAAUUUUUACAAGGCUU
rnacentral:lncRNA from 1 species